rnacentral:rRNA from 1 species
GAUGAACGCUGGCGGCGUGCCUAAUACAUGCAAGUCGAGCGAACAGACGAGGAGCUUGCUCCUUUGACGUUAGCGGCGGACGGGUGAGUAACACGUGGGUAACCUACCUAUAAGACUGGGAUAACUUCGGGAAACCGGAGCUAAUACCGGAUAAUAUUUCGAACCGCAUGGUUCGAUAGUGAAAGAUGGCUCUGCUAUCACUUAUAGAUGGACCUGCGCCGUAUUAGCUAGUUGGUAAGGUAACGGCUUACCAAGGCAACGAUACGUAGCCGACCUGAGAGGGUGAUCGGCCACACUGGAACUGAGACACGGUCCAGACUCCUACGGGAGGCAGCAGUAGGGAAUCUUCCGCAAUGGGCGAAAGCCUGACGGGGCAACGCCGCGUGAGUGAUGAAGGUCUUCGGAUCGUAAAACUCUGUUAUUAGGGAAGAACAAACGUGUAAGUAACUGUGCACGUCUUGACGGUACCUAAUCAGAAAGCCACGGCUAACUACGUG